rnacentral:lncRNA from 1 species
CGAAGUCCCCCGAGAAGUAAGACGCAGCGCAGCAGCCCGGGCCUGGAGCCCCAGACGCUGCGUCACAGCUUCUCCUGCUGGCUCGAGAGGCGAAGCAACUGCAAAACUUUCUGCAGAACUUCACCGCGUGGCGAAACCUGGGCGGCUCAUGUGUGUGACCCUUGUGUCAGUGUCCCUGGCACAAAGAAUGUAACACUUGAGCUGAUAGGGGCCUCUACAUCCAGAGACCUGGGACAAAAGCAGACCACUGGAUGUCCCAGAAGACCUACAUCAUUCCCACCAGCUGGGCUGCUGGCCGGUAGCAAAGAACAAAACGGAAAUUUCAUGAAGACAAUCCAGUUACUUAGCAUUAUGCAACAGGUCAGAUGGCAGCGUAGAGCACUGGACCGAGAAUCUGGAUUUUGGAGGGCAGCCGAAACCUACCUCUGAUUUCCCAAACAGUCUCGAAAGCGAUGCUUGGGAACUCCGGCUGAGGAGAGCAGGGUUGAGACUUCUGGAUUCCAACAGCACAAAGCAGACUCACCUUUUCCCAUCACAAGUGAUCAAAACACUGUAAAACUGUAAUGUAAGUUUUAUUGUUUCCUGCACUAGCCACUGCGGGCUUUUUGGGAAAUAACAGACGUGACUUUUCAUGGCUCCUGCUGUAGGCAAUCUUUCAGUGUCUGCAAUAAAGAAUCGGCUCCAGGGAGGCUCCUCCUUGGCCCUUCUGUGCUCUGCAAA